UACGUAGGGGGCAAGCGUUAUCCGGAUUUACUGGGUGUAAAGGGAGCGUAGACGGUAAUGUAAGUCUGAUGUGAAAGCCCGGGGCUCAACCCCGGGACUGCAUUGGAAACUGUGUAACUAGAGUACCGGAGAGGUAAGCGGAAUUCCUAGUGUAGCGGUGAAAUGCGUAGAUAUUAGGAGGAACACCAGUGGCGAAGGCGGCUUACUGGACGGAAACUGACGUUGAGGCUCGAAAGCGUGGGGAGCAAACAGG
rnacentral:rRNA from 1 species